GUACCCUCAAGCUUUGCUUGGUGUUGGGCGUCUUGUCUAUCCCUUUUGCGGGCAGACUCGCCUUAAAGUAAUUGGCAGCCAGUGUUUUUGGCAGUAAGCGCAGCACAUUUUGCGUCUUAGUCCUUCAACAGUGGCAUCCAUAAAGCCUCUUCUCAC
rnacentral:misc_RNA from 1 species